GUAACGGCGAGUGAAGCGGCAACAGCUCAAAUUUGAAAUCUGGCUCCUUCGGGGUCCGAGUUGUAAUUUGCAGAGGAUGCGUCGGGUACGGGUCCCUACCGAGUUCCCUGGAACGGGACGCCAUAGAGGGUGAGAGCCCCGUCUGGUAGGAUACCCAGCCCAUGUGACGCUCCCUCGACGAGUCGAGUAGUUUGGGAAUGCUGCUCUAACGGGAGGUAUACUCCUUCCAAAGCUAAAUACCGGCUGGAGACCGAUAGCGCACAAGUAGAGUGAUCGAAAGAUGAAAAGCACUUUGAAAAGAGAGUCAAACAGCACGUGAAAUUGUUAAAAGGGAAGCACUCGCUACCAGACUUGGGUUUGGCGGUUCAACCGGGGCCACGCCCCGGGGCAUUCCGCCAGCUCAGGCCAGCAUCAGCUUUCCGUCGGGGGUAAAGACGUCGGGAAUGUGGCUCCCCUUCGGGGGAGUGUUAUAGCCCGGCGUGUCAUACUCUUCGGGGGGCUGAGGUACGCGCUUCUGCAAGGAUGCUGGCGUAAUGGUAGCUAGUGACCCGUCUUGAAACACGGACCAAGGAGUCAACCUUAUGUGCGAGUGCCCGGGCGUAAAACCCCAGCGCGGAAUGAAAGUGAACGUAGGUGAGAGCUUCGGCGCAUCACCGACCGAUCCUGAUGUCCUCGGACGGAUUUGAGUGAGAGCAUAUAGGGUUGGACCCGAAAGAAGAUGAACUAUGCGUGUGUAGGGUGAAGCCAGAGGAAACUCUGGUGGAGGCUCGCAGCGGUUCUGACGUGCAAAUCG
rnacentral:misc_RNA from 1 species